AAGUCGUAACAAGGUCUCCGUAGGUGAACCUGCGGAGGGAUCAUUACAGAGCUUUUGCCCGCAAGGGUAGAUCUCCCACCCUGUGUUAUAAUUUACCUCUGUUGCUUUGGCGGGCCGCCCUGGCCUCGGUCAGGCUACCGGCUCCGGCGGGUAAGCGCCCGCCAGAGGACCCUAAACUCUGAAUAUCAGUGUCGUCUGAGUACUAUACAAUAGUUAAAACUUUCAACAACGGAUCUCUUGGUUCUG
rnacentral:misc_RNA from 1 species